GAAUAUUGCACAAUGGGCGAAAGCCUGAUGCAGCAACGCCGCGUGAGUGAUGACGGUCUUCGGAUUGUAAAGCUCUGUCUUUGGGGACGAUAAUGACGGUACCCAAGGAGGAAGCCACGGCUAACUACGUGCCAGCAGCCGCGGUAAUACGUAGGUGGCAAGCGUUGUCCGGAUUUACUGGGCGUACAGGGUGCGUAGGCGGACCUUUAAGUGAGAUGUGAAAUCCCCGAGCUUAACUUGGGGGCUGCAUUUCAAACUGGGGGGCUAGAGUGCAGGGGAGGAGAGUGGAAUUCCUAGUGUAUCGGUGAAAUGCGUAGAGAUUAGGAAGAACACCAGUGGCGAAGGCGACUCUCUGGACUGUAACUGACGC
rnacentral:rRNA from 1 species